rnacentral:rRNA from 1 species
CAUGCAAGUCGAACGCAGUAGCAAUACUGAGUGGCAAACGGGUGAGUAUAAUGUGGGAAUCUGCCUUUUGGUUUGGAAUAACACGGGGAAACUUGUGCUAAUACCGAAUAAGCCCUUACGGGGAAAGUUUUAAUGCCGAAAGAUGAGCCCGCACUUGAUUAGCUAGUUGGUAAGGUAAAAGCUUACCAAGGCAACGAUCAAUAGCUGUUCUUAGAGGAAGACCAGCCACAUUGGGACUGAGACACGGCCCAGACUCCUACGGGAGGCAGCAGUGGGGAAUCUUGCACAAUGGGGGAAACCCUGAUGCAGCGAUGCCGCGUGAGUGAAGAAGGCCUUUGGGUUGUAAAACUCUUUCGUCGGGGAAGAAAAUGACUGUACCCGAAUAAGAAGGUCCGGCUAACUUCGUGCCAGCAGCCGCGGUAAUACGAAGGGACCUAGCGUAGUUCGGAAUUACUGGGCUUAAAGAGCUCGUAGGUGGUUAAAAAAGUUGAUGGUGAAAUCCCAAGGCUCAACCUUGGAACUGCCAUCAAAACUUUUUAGCUAGAGUGUGAUAGAGGUAAGUGGAAUUUCUAGUGUAGAGGUGAAAUUCGUAGAUAUUAGAAAGAACACCAAAUGCGAAGGCAACUUACUGGGUCACUACUGACACUGAGGAGCGAAAGCAUGGGUAGCGAAGAGGAUUAGAUACCCUCGUAGUCCAUGCCGUAAACGAUGUGUGCUAGACGUUGGAAAUAUAUUUUUCAGUGUCGCAGCGAAAGCGUUAAGCACACCGCCAGGGGAGUACGACCGCAAGGUUAAAACUCAAAUGAAUUGACGGGGACCCGCACAAGCAGUGGAGCAUGUGGUUUAAUUCGAAGAUACGCGCAGACCUUACCAACACUUGACAUGUUCGUCGCGAGCCUAAGAGAUUAGGCUUUUCAGUUCGGCUGACGAAACACAGUGCUGCAUGCUGUCGUCAGCUCGUGUCGUGAGAUGUGGGUAAGUCCCGCACGAGCGCACCCCUACUUUAGUGCCACCAUUAGUGGGCACUUUAAAGACUGCAGUGAUACUGAGAGUGGAUGACGUCAGUCUCAUGCCUAUGUGUGGGCUACCACGGC